CUUCGCAGCUGUUAAAAACUUAGCCUAAUAAGGAGAACAAUGUCUUCGAAUGCCAGAAUUUCCAAAUGCAUGUAUGCGUCAGUCAUACACAGACAUGCACAUGUGUGUGUGUGUGUAGAGAGAGAGAGAGCUCUUAUAGAUGUCAUGAAAUAUUACAAUCUGUUCCAGAAUCUAAAAAGAUUGACUGUAGAGGACCAUUAACCAUGGCAUACAAACUUCUAUCUUCAUCAAUAAUUAUAAUUUGGCAGAUAAUACGGAUCCGACUCAGGCAUUUUGCCUAUUAUGUCACUAACUGA